AUUGAACGCUGGCGGCAUGCCUUACACAUGCAAGUCGAACGGCAGCAUGGGUGCUUGCACCUGAUGGCGAGUGGCGAACGGGUGAGUAAUGCAUCGGAACGUACCCGGAAGUGGGGGAUAACGUAGCGAAAGUUACGCUAAUACCGCAUAUUCUGUGAGCAGGAAAGAGGGGGAUCGCAAGACCUCUCGCUUUCGGAGCGGCCGAUGUCGGAUUAGCUAGUUGGCGGGGUAAAGGCCCACCAAGGCAACGAUCCGUAGCGGGUCUGAGAGGAUGAGCCGCCACACUGGGACUGAGACACGGCCCAGACUCCUACGGGAGGCAGCAGUGGGGAAUUUUGGACAAUGGGGGCAACCCUGAUCCAGCCAUGCCGCGUGAGUGAAGAAGGCCUUCGGGUUGUAAAGCUCUUUCGGCUGGGAAGAAAUCGCAUCUCCUAAUACGGGGUGUGGAUGACGGUACCAGCAUAAGAAGCACCGGCUAACUACGUGCCAGCAGCCGCAGUAAAAC
rnacentral:rRNA from 1 species